CAAGAAAGUUAUCAUUUAUUUAGAAGAAUGACCAUGUUUAUUAUUUAAAAGCUCAGAUUGAAUUUCAUAAGUAAACAUCAAGGAGUUUUGCCCUCAGCCAUUAAUUUGUCGUUUUUCCAGGAGUUUGAGCUGGUAAAAUAUUGCCUCCACGAAUAAGAAUAGGUAUUGUAUCAACUGGAGCAGGAAGUGUGAAAUUUUGCCCUUUAGAAAUGACAAAAGAUUUAUUAUAGAAAUCAAACCAUAA
rnacentral:misc_RNA from 1 species